AAUCUUCACAAUAACUCUGUGAUGUAAAUCCCCAUUUUACCAUUGAGUAAACUAAGACAAAGAGAGGUUAAGUGACUUGUCCAGGGUCACACAUCUAGUAAGUAUCUGAGGAUGGAUUUGAUAUUGGGUCUUCCUGACUCCAGCUCAGUGCUCUGAUCCACUAUGCCACCAGCAUCCUCUAUAGACCAGGAAGAGCCUCAGGGCAGCAGAUUGUCAUGUCCUCCUUUUCCAGUAACAAUGGUCAUAUUCAUUUAAUUAUUUCCAGGGUAAGGACAAGAUGUAGAAAGGGGUGGAUGAGUAGAUGGCAAGCUAUAUCUGUCUUUGGUAGAUCCCCACUGUCCUGAUGGCUGGUUGGCUGGGAAAAUACAGCAUGUCAUCUUAGGCACACUCACUAUUCAGGACAGCUCUGCAUCAAGGGAAAGGUGCAGAGCUUAUUGGAUCAACUUGCUGAUGGGUAGGAGACCUGGCAGGGACAUCUGAUCAGCAAAAAGGCUGAUAGCAAGAUGCCUAUGAUGAGUCAUUGAGAAUCGCCCACAAUGCCAAGUACAUAGUCUUACAUGAGUGAUCUGUUAUCAUAUCAAUUUGGGACUUCCCUCCAGUGGCAAAGACUGCUCAUCCUGUUUGACUUUUGGCUACGUCCUCCUAUCCUGUCGAUUUUUCAAGGUCCAAGUCAAGUCCCAUCAGUUCAACUAAGCUUUCUUCAACUAUUCUUGGC
rnacentral:lncRNA from 1 species